rnacentral:rRNA from 1 species
UACGUAGGGGGCAAGCGUUAUCCGGAUUUACUGGGUGUAAAGGGAGCGUAGACGGCCAGACGAGUCUGAAGUGAAAAUCCAGCGCUUAACGUUGGAAGUGCUUUGGAAACUGCCGGGCUAGAGUGCAGGAGGGGCAGGCGGAAUUCCUAGUGUAGCGGUGAAAUGCGUAGAUAUUAGGAGGAACACCAGUGGCGAAGGCGGCCUGCUGGACUGCAACUGACGUUGAGGCUCGAAGGCGUGGGGAGCAAACAGG